rnacentral:rRNA from 1 species
GUUGUAUAGUCAAGUAAUUAAGUGCAUGUGGUGGAUGCCUUGGCAGUCAGAGGCGAUGAAAGACGUGAUAGCCUGCGAAAAGCUCCGGGGAGGCGGCAAAUAUCCUUUGAUCCGGAGAUGUCUGAAUGGGGGAACCCACCUACUUUAAGGUAGGUAUUGCAACAUGAAUACAUAGUGUUGCAAGGCGAACGAGGGGAAGUGAAACAUCUCAGUACCCUUAGGAAAAGAAAUCAAUUGAGAUUCCCUCAGUAGCGGCGAGCGAACGGGGAUCAGCCCAUUAAGUUAUGUGUGUUUUAGUGGAACGCUCUGGGAAGUGCGAACGUAGAGGGUGAUAUUCCCGUACACGAAAGGGCACACAUAAUGAUGACGAGUAGGGCGAGGCACGUGAAACCUUGUCUGAAUAUGGGGGGACCAUCCUCCAAGGCUAAAUACUCCUGACUGACCGAUAGUGAACCAGUACCGUGAGGGAAAGGCGAAAAGAACCCCUGUGAGGGGAGUGAAAUAGAUCCUGAAACCGCAUGCAUACAAGCAGUGGGAGCACCUUCGUGGUGUGACUGCGUACCUUUUGUAUAAUUGGUCAGCGACUUAUAUUCAGUAGCGAGGUUAACCGUAUAGGGGAGCCGUAGAGAAAUCGAGUCUUAAUAGGGCGUUUAGUUGCUGGGUAUAGACCCGAAACCAGGCGAUCUAUCCAUGAGCAGGUUGAAGGUUGGGUAACACUAACUGGAGGACCGAACCCACUGUCGUUGAAAAGCCAGGGGAUGACUUGUGGAUAGGGGUGAAAGGCUAAUCAAGCCUGGUGAUAGCUGGUUCUCCCCGAAAGCUAUUUAGGUAGCGCCUCGGACGAAUACCAUAGGGGGUAGAGCACUGUUUCGGCUAGGGGGUCAUCCCGACUUACCAAACCGAUGCAAACUCCGAAUACCUAUGAGUACUAUCCGGGAGACAGACUGCGGGUGCUAACGUCCGUAGUCAAGAGGAAAACAAUCCAGACCGCCAGCUAAGGCCCCAAAAUCAUAGUUAAGUGGGAAACGAUGUGGGAAGGCAUAGACAGCUAGGAGGUUGGCUUAGAAGCAGCCACCCUUUAAAGAAAGCGUAAUAGCUCACUAGUCGAGUCGGCCUGCGCGGAAGAUGUAACGGGGCUAAAACUAUGUGCCGAAGCUGCGGAUGUAUACUUUGUAUACGUGGUAGGGGAGCGUUCUGUAAGCCGAUGAAGGUGUGUUGAGAAGCAUGCUGGAGGUAUCAGAAGUGCGAAUGCUGACGUGAGUAACGACAAAACGGGUGAAAAACCCGUUCGCCGAAAGACCAAGGGUUCCAGUCCAACGUUAAUCGGGGCUGGGUGAGUCGACCCCUAAGGCGAGGCCGAAAGGCGUAGUCGAUGGGAAAAUGGUUAAUAUUCCAUUACUUCUGUGUAAUGCGAUGAGAGGACGGAGAAGGCUAAAUCAGCCUGGCGUUGGUUGUCCAGGUGAAAGGAUGUAGGCAUGUAUCUUAGGCAAAUCCGGGGUACUCUAUGCUGAGAUCUGAUAGCAAGCUGUACUUGUACAGCGAAGUGGUUGAUGCCAUGCUUCCAGGAAAAGUCUCUAAGCUUCAGUUACACAGGAAUCGUACCCGAAACCGACACAGGUGGUCAGGUCGAGUAGACCAAGGCGCUUGAGAGAACUCUGCUGAAGGAACUAGGCAAAAUGGUACCGUAACUUCGGGAGAAGGUACGCUGUUGUUGGUGAUGGAACUCGCUUCCUGAGCUGACGACAGCCGCAGAAACCAGGCCGCUGCAACUGUUUAUUAAAAACAUAGCACUCUGCAAACACGAAAGUGGACGUAUAGGGUGUGAUGCCUGCCCGGUGCUGGAAGGUUAAUUGAUGGGGUUAGCGUAAGCGAAGCUCUUGAUCGAAGCCCCAGUAAACGGCGGCCGUAACUAUAACGGUCCUAAGGUAGCGAAAUUCCUUGUCGGGUAAGUUCCGACCUGCACGAAUGGCAUAAUGAUGGCGGCGCUGUCUCCAGCAGAGGCUCAGUGAAAUCGAAAUCGCUGUGAAGAUGCAGUGUACCCGCGGCUAGACGGAAAGACCCCGUGAACCUUUACUGCAGCUUGACACUGAACUUUGACCUUACUUGUGUAGGAUAGGUGGGAGGCUUUGAAGCUGGAACGCUAGUUCCAGUGGAGCCGUCCUUGAAAUACCACCCUGGUAAUGUUGAGGUUCUAACUCUGUCCCGUGAUCCGGGACGAGGACCGUGUCUGGUGGGUAGUUUGACUGGGGCGGUCUCCUCCUAAAGAGUAACGGAGGAGUACGAAGGUGCGCUCAGCGUGGUCGGAAAUCACGCGUAGAGUAUAAAGGCAAAAGCGCGCUUAACUGCGAGACCCACAAGUCGAGCAGGUACGAAAGUAGGUCUUAGUGAUCCGGUGGUUCUGUAUGGAAGGGCCAUCGCUCAACGGAUAAAAGGUACUCUGGGGAUAACAGGCUGAUACCGCCCAAGAGUUCAUAUCGACGGCGGUGUUUGGCACCUCGAUGUCGGCUCAUCUCAUCCUGGGGCUGAAGCAGGUCCCAAGGGUAUGGCUGUUCGCCAUUUAAAGAGGUACGCGAGCUGGGUUUAGAACGUCGUGAGACAGUUCGGUCCCUAUCUACCGUGGGCGCUGGAAAUUUGAGAGGAUCUGCUCCUAGUACGAGAGGACCAGAGUGGACGAACCUCUGGUGUACCGGUUGUGACGCCAGUCGCAUCGCCUGGUAGCUAUGUUCGGAAGGGAUAACCGCUGAAAGCAUCUAAGCGGGAAGCCUACCUCAAGAUAAGAUUUCCCUAGGACUUUAUGUCCUCUAAAGAGCCGUUCGAGACUAGGACGUUGAUAGGUUGGAUGUGGAAGCAUAGUGAUAUGUGAAGCUGACCAAUACUAAUUGCUCGUGAGGCUUGACUAUACAACACCCAAGCAGUUG